rnacentral:tRNA from 1 species
UUAGGAAAUAAUGAGGUUGAUGAACACUUUGAGCUUUCUAAAAAUUUAGGCAAAAAUGGUGCGAUUCUUUUCUUUUGGCC